rnacentral:rRNA from 1 species
ACCACACCACCAUGAACACAGCAAUUCUGCUUGAUUUUGGAAGCUAAGCAGGGUUGGACUCAGUUUGUACUGUGAUGGAGAUGACCAGGGAAUAUCAGAAAU